rnacentral:rRNA from 1 species
CCGGAUGCGGAUCUCGAAAGCCUGUCCCAGUUCGGACUGUAGGCUGCAACUCGCCUACACGAAGUCGGAAUCGCUAGUAAUCGCGGAUCAGCAUGCCGCGGUGAAUACGUUCCCGGGCCUUGUACACACCGCCCGUCACACCAUGGAAGUUUGCAAUGCCCAAAGUCGGUGGCCUAACCAUUUGGAGGGAACCGCCUAAGGCAGGACAGAUGACUGGGGUGAAGUCGUAACAAGGUAUC